AAUAUUCUGCCACCGGGUAGAAAUACGAAUGGAAAACAUUUGUCUGCAUGUCGUUAGGUCUUUGAAGAUUUGCAGAGAAAUGUUUCUUUUUU
rnacentral:ncRNA from 1 species